UUGCACGCUGGCGGCAGGCCUCACACAUGCCAGUCGCACGGUAACAGCAAGCAGCUUGCUGCUUUGCUGACGAGUGGCGGACGGGUGAGUAAUGUCUGGGAAACUGCCUGAUGGAGGGGGAUAACUACUGGAAACGGUAGCUAAUACCGCAUAACGUCGCAAGACCAAAGAGGGGGACCUUCGGGCCUCUUGCCAUCGGAUGUGCCCAGAUGGGAUUAGCUAGUAGGUGGGGUAACGGCUCACCUAGGCGACGAUCCCUAGCUGGUCUGAGAGGAUGACCAGCCACACUGGAACUGAGACACGGUCCAGACUCCUACGGGAGGCAGCAGUGGGGAAUAUUGCACAAUGGGCGCAAGCCUGAUGCAGCCAUGCCGCGUGUAUGAAGAAGGCCUUCGGGUUGUAAAGUACUUUCAGCGGGGAGGAAGGGAGUAAAGUUAAUACCUUUGCUCAUUGACGUUACCCGCAGAAGAAGCACCGGCUAACUCCGUG
rnacentral:rRNA from 1 species